UGAUCGCUGUAUAAGUGGCGCGGUGCUCCC
rnacentral:piRNA from 1 species